AGGGGUGGAGCUCAGUGGUGGAGCACUUGCCUAGAAUGCAUGAGGUCCUGGGUUCUAUCCCCAGCACUGUGA
rfam:Heterocephalus glaber contig263912, whole genome shotgun sequence.